GACGAACGCUGGAGGCGUGCUUAACACAUGCAAGUCGAACGAUGAAAUGGAGCUUGCUCCAUGGAUUAGUGGCGAACGGGUGAGUAACACGUGAAUAACCUGCCCUUAAUUUUGGAAUAACCCAGGGACACCUGGGCUAAUACCGGAUAAGUAAACCUGUGGCAUCACAUGGUUUUGGAAAGUUUUUCGAUUAAGGAUGGAUUCGCGGCCUAUCGGCUUGUUGGUGAGGUAAUGGUUCACCAAGGCGACGACGGGUAGCCGGCCUGAGAGGGUGAACGGCCACACUGGGACUGAGACACGGCCCAGACUCCUACGGGAGGCAGCAGUGGGGAAUAUUGCGCAAUGGACGAAAGUCUGACGCAGCGACGCCUCGUGAGGGACGAAGGUCUUCGGAUUGUAAACCUCUUUCAGCAGGGACGAAGCGAAAGUGACGGUACCUGCAGAAGAAGCACCGGCUAACUAUGUGCCAGCCGCCGCCGUAA
rnacentral:rRNA from 1 species